CGGAAGAUGUAACGGGGCUAAGUAGUAAACCGAAGCUGCGGCAAUGUGCUUUUGCACAUUGGGUAGGGGAGCGUUCUGUAAGCGGUUGAAGGUGUGUGGUAACGCAUGCUGGACGUAUCAGAAGUGCGAAUGCUGACAUGAGUAACGAUAAAGGGGGUGAAAAACCUCCUCGCCGGAAGACCAAGGGUUCCUGUCCAACGUUAAUCGGGGCAGGGUAAGUCGACCCCUAAGGCGAGGCCGAAAGGCGUAGUCGAUGGGAAACGGGUUAAUAUUCCCGUACUUCUUACAAUUGCGAUGGGGGGACGGAGAAGGCUAGGUGGGCCUGGCGACGGUUGUCCAGGUUCAAGUGCGUAGGCUUAAGAGUUAGGUAAAUCCGGCUCUUUUUAAGGCUGAGACACGACGUCGAGCACCUACGGGUGUGAAGUCAUUGAUGCCAUGCUUCCAGGAAAAGCCUCUAAGCUUCAGAUUGUAAGGAAUCGUACCCCAAACCGACACAGGUGGUCGGGUAGAGAAUACCAAGGCGCUUGAGAGAACUCGGGUGAAGGAACUAGGCAAAAUGGUACCGUAACUUCGGGAGAAGGUACGCUCUCGACGGUGAAGUCCCUCGCGGAUGGAGCUAUUGAGAGUCGCAGAUACCAGGUGGCUGCAACUGUUUAUUAAAAACACAGCACUGUGCAAAAUCGUAAGAUGACGUAUACGGUGUGACGCCUGCCCGGUGCCGGAAGGUUAAUUGAUGGGGUUAGACUUCGGUCGAAGCUCUUGAUCGAAGCCCCGGUAAACGGCGGCCGUAACUAUAACGGUCCUAAGGUAGCGAAAUUCCUUGUCGGGUAAGUUCCG
rnacentral:rRNA from 1 species